UACAGAGGGUGCAAGCGUUAAUCGGAAUUACUGGGCGUAAAGCGUGCGUAGACGGUUACAUAAGUCGGGUGUGAAAGCCCCGGGCUCAACCUGGGAACUGCAUCUGUGACUGCAUCGCUGGAGUGCGGCAGAGGGGAUGGAAUUCCGCGUGUAGCAGUGAAAUGCGUAGAUAUGCGGAGGAACACCGAUGGCGAAGGCAAUCCCCUGGGCCUGCACUGACGCUCAUGCACGAAAGCGUGGGAGCAAACAGG
rnacentral:rRNA from 1 species